rnacentral:lncRNA from 12 species
AGGCAGCCUUGUAGCUAAAAGAAGAUGUAAAUAUAGAAUUAACUAACUCUGUGUGAUGCUUUUCCUGUCUUCCAGCAGGCCAUUGGCACCAAAGGCAGCUGUGCUUUCCUGGAGGCUCCUGGGGUUAGUGCCUACAGCACUCAAAGCCAGGCCUUUCCCUCAAACCUCAUCCAUCACUUUUGGGAUAAAAAGAGGGCUGCUCCAAGGCCAUGGAUCAAGGACUGAGCAAGUCCAGGUCACAGUUUUGAAUGUUCCUGCUCAGGACAUGCUAAAGUACAGAUUCCAGUUUUCCCUGGACUCACCAAGAAUGUAAGAAGCAAACUCAGUGAUGAGGGGAUAUAAACC